rnacentral:misc_RNA from 1 species
GGUAUCCCCUAAUAUACCAUUCCCAUCAAAAGACACACAUAUAUGCAAUAUGCUGCCUUCUGUUAUUAGAUGUAUGUUUCAGGAAAAGUAAAGUAUCAAACUCAAAUAGUCUAGUGCAACACAUUUAAUAGCUAUCCUAAAAGUGUAAAUGGCAUACCUCCCGUUUUUUGGCAAGUUCUUCAGUCUCCUCUAGUUCAAUAUCAAGCUUACGUCUUUGAAUAUUUUCUUCUGCUGUAAAAAAAUCAUCUUCCUCUUGCUUUCCUAUCCCCAACUUUGGGUCUCGCAUCCCUGAUUUUAUUGGCUCAGUAAUUCCUUGCUCAUUUUUCCCAAGACCCUUCCCCUUCCAACCCAUCUUCUGAAGAAGCCUGAAUCCAAUGUUAGAGGAUGUCAACUGCGUAUCUAAAGAUGCUUGUUCCACAUUUUCCAGGUCUACGUUUUCCGUUGGUCUAUGAUUAAUAGGAAGGCGAAAAUCCUCAGCGAGAUCCUCUAGAACAGAAGCCUCAUCAGCCUCUUCCAUUUCUUGCUGGCGUCUAUCUCUCAUGCGCAUAUCAGGCAUACUAUUGAACCAUCUAUCAUCCAUACCUAUAUGAUAACGCUGAUUGAAGGAAUAUCGGUUUCGUAGUAAGUGUUAGCUCCAGAAUUGUGUGUAAU